AUGAUACAGGCUUUUGCUAGAGCUACCAAUCAGACCAACUGUUGGCACCCUUCAUUUUUGGAGGCAGAUUUUACAUUACUGGUCCAUGCCUGGACACAAAUGUUGAGCCAUCCCUGCAUUCCUGGAAUAAGUCCCAUUUGUUCAUGGGCUGUAACUCAGAUUCAAACAUGCCUGUAGAGAGAAAGCAGACUGUGGGACGACACUUAAACUGUCUGAAAACCCUGUCGUCAGCACCCUACCUGUGAUAUCCUAGGAAACCUACAAAAAGCAGGAGCAUGAGGUAAGAGAGUGAGAAGAGGAGUAAAUGAGAAACCUGGAGAAGACCAAUACCAAAAGGAAUACAUAAAAGAGAGAGAGUCAGUUAUACAACCAGG